UGGGAUUUCGUUUCUCACGUUCCUCGACCCUAAUGUCUACAUGAGGUGUGAGUUCAACGGAUAAAGGAAAUCACAUUACUAAUAGAAUGAUGCCGCAGCAAAGAAAAUGCUCUCAGCCUUGGACGAUCCAUUCACUCGAUUCUUGAAACCAUUACCUUUUCUGAAGCAAGACUAGCUAGCACCCAAGGUGCCCUGGCAGGGGUCAUCAAGGAAACUCAAUAGAUGGCUAUUUCAGUGGAGAUUAUACCAGAGAUGUUGUUUUGAAAGUAUAUGCCAAGAGAGAAAGAUAUACUUGAAACCCGAUGAGGUCAAUGAUGUGGAGAUUUUACCAGAGAUGUUGUUUUCAAGUAAGAUUUUGUGUGA